UUGUUGCAGCUAAAAAGCUCGUAGUUGGACUUUAGGCAAGGCGGCCUGGUCACCCUCUGGGUGUACUGGGAUCGCUGCGCCUCACCUUCGGGGAGCUAGUCGUGCUUCGGUGCGCUAGGGAACCGAGCCUUACCUUGAGGAAAUUAGAGUGUUUAAAGCAGGCUUAUGCUUGAAUACGUUAGCAUGGAAUAACAUGAUAGGACUUUGGUUCUAUUUUGUUGGUUUGAGGACCAAAGUAAUGAUUAAUAGGGACAGUUGGGGGCAUUAGUAUUCAAUAGUCAGAGGUGAAAUUCUUGGAUUUAUUGAAGACUAACUAAUGCGAAAGCAUUUGCCAAGGAUGUUUUCAUUAAUCAAGAACGAAAGUUAGGGGAUCGAAGACGAUUAGAUACCGUCGUAGUCUUAACCAUAAACUAUGCCGACUAGGGAUCGGUGGAAGUCGAUUUUGACUCCAUCGGCACCUUACGAGAAAUCAAAGUUUUUGGGUUCUGGGGGGAGUAUGGUCGCAAGGCUGAAACUUAAAGGAAUUGACGGAAGGGCACCACCAGGAGUGGAGCCUGCGGCUUAAUUUGACUCAACACGGGAAAACUCACCAGGUCCGGACAUGGGAAGGAUUGACAGAUUGAGAGCU
rnacentral:rRNA from 1 species